ACCGGAUUGGGCAGAUUUCUGGCAUCCCGACCCGAUUACACACAACUGAGGAAGUUGGCACCUGUAGGACAAAACCUAACCUAAUUACCCCGCCCACACUGCUUCUGUUUCGUCCCAAACAAGCACCGACUCCACCACCAUCACCACCACCGCCGCCGCCGCCGCCGCCGCCGCCGCCUCCUUCCUUCAACACCUCCUCCUCGUCCCGAUCAAUCGAAUCCCCGUCGCGAUUUCCUGGAGAAGUCUUUCCCACUUCACUCUUUGCUUCCAAUUUGUUCCAGCCCUCUGAACCCUAAUAUUUCACGCGUCAGGACUCGAGCAUCGCAGCAGACGCAGCCUCUUCGCUAAAGAUGCUCUCCCGCUCUGCCUCUUUUCGCCAGCCUCUUCGCUUCCUUGCUCUCACUGCUGUAGCUUCCUUCCACCCUUGCUGCAUCUCACCUCCGCCUCCACCUCCGCCUCUGUCUUUUCCUCGUCUCCCCUGUCCUCUGUUCCCUCCGUCCAAUUCCGCUUUCUUUCAAUACUCUAAGGCAUUCUCUAGCGGGAGUCGCGACGAUGGCGGCGACUGGAAAUUAACCCCCGAGGAGGACGAGGGUGGUUUCGUUUUUCCGGACGAGGGCGACCUUGCAGGGAUUUCUGAUGACGCCCCGAGACCCUCCGGAACAGAGGCGAUCAACACUGGAGCCGGAAUCAUGGAUCAGUGGGAAAAGGGCUACGGGACAGUUGAUAAAGGGGAUAUUUUUGAUGGCCUCGAUGGAGAGACUCUGGCUAACGAGAACGGGCUUGGAGGAUUAGGCGUGGAGGAAUGGGAGACGGCUGAGGGAUACAAGCCAUGGUCAUUGGGCGACGAUGAUGAAAAAUUGAGCCUGUUCAAUGAUGGUGAUGGAGGGGUAGUCCACGGCGGCGUUGAUGAUUUAGAGAAGUCUAGUGAUGAGCAGAAGCAGCAACUUGAGAAGCGAGAGAAAGAGCUGUUAGAUAUUCUGGAAGGUCCGAAACAUGCAUUUGGAGAUCUCACUGAAGCAUCAGGGAUCACAGAUGAUAUGAUUGAUAGUUUGAUUAUAUUGAAGGAUGUAACGGGUGUUCCAGGAUUACCUCCUCUUAAGGAAAUACAAGAGGAAGCAAUUGCAAAGAUGAAUGCAACAUCAACAAGAACUGAAAUUGAGCGUAAGAAACAAGAGGAGAUUGCAAAAUCUAGAGUUCGUCAGGUGGAUGAAAAGGGUAGAGCAUAUGGAACAGGGAGAAGGAAAUGCAGCGUAGCUCGUGUAUGGAUUAAACCCGGUGAUGGGACGUUCAUUGUAAAUGACAAGCAGUUUGAUGUUUAUUUUCCCAUUCUUGAUCAUCGAGCAGAACUUCUCAGACCUUUCACUGUCACAAAAACUCUCGGUCUCUGGGACGUAAAUUGCACUGUUAAAGGGGGUGGGGUUUCUGGUCAAGUUGGAGCCAUCCGCUUGGGAAUCAGCAGAGCAUUGCAAUGUUGGGAACCAGGCCUUCGACCUUACCUAAAAGCUGCUGGUUAUUUAACACGUGAUCCACGCGUAGUUGAACGAAAGAAGCCUGGCAAAGCUAAAGCAAGGAAGAGCUUUCAAUGGGUUAAACGGUAGAAGCCUCAAUGAUGUCUGGCUGUGUUUGGUCGGAACUUGAACUCUAUUUUGGCAUUGGGAUCAAUCAUGUCCUGCACAACAUUUGCAAGCUCCAACAUGGUGAAGUCUCCAGGGUUCCCUAGGUUGAAUGGACCGGUGUGUUCUCCUUCCGUCAACUUCACUAGUCCUCUGCCUGUAAUAUUUCUCAGCUAAAAGGCCUACUCGAUGCUGACAACUACGUACACUGGGAUCGGAUCUUCUCACAGCCGUCACCAGCUACUUUCUCCGAUCAUAAACUGAAAUCUUGAAAGGCCAUGGAGAAAGCAGCAGUAGCAGUUCUGGAGGCUUGCGGAAAAGAGGCCUUUGUCCCAUCUACACCAUCCUUGGCUUAAAUUUGAUGUAGAAAGAACCUACUGAUAUGCCAUUAUAAUUAAUUGACUCUCGCCGACUGCUCAUUGCUCAACCAUUUAUUAGUUAUCUGUAGCUGCUGGAGUGCUUAAUUUUCAUGUUCUAGGUGAAGAAUAGUUUCAUAUUAAUUAACAUCCACUGAAUGAUGUUAUUCUUACUUAGCCUAAUUAUGAUAUGAUAAAUUUAAGUAA